rnacentral:lncRNA from 1 species
GCCUGGUUUUCAACCUUCACAGAUCACCUACUUUGCCAUGUAGGGCAAGAGAUCAUCAGUAAGAACAAAAACAAUAUUGCUAACACCCUUGAGCAAGUAAGCUCACAAAACUCAACAAAGGGGAGGAGUAAUAAACUUACGAUAGAACUAAAUAUAAACAUGAAGCUCCAUUAGUGCCAUCAUAUGUAUACUGAAAUUAGUUCAGAAGGCCACUAAGACUCGAGGAAUCAAAAUAAAGGAAUCAUAGAAAGCCUGCUUUAGAAAAGGAAAUUCUAGAAAGAUUGGGGUGGGAGCAAGAGUGAGGAAAGAGGGGAGGGGAGAGAUAAGGAUAGCCCUAGAAAAAUAGUUAAAAGGAGAAAAGAGGAUGAGAACAGAAGGAAAGGUGGGGAAAGGGAGAAAGAGAACUGGGGAGGAGAAAUAAAAGAAAAACAAGGGGAGUCAGCAGAAAAUAAAAGCGGAACAAUAAAAGGGAGAAUAAAAAUAAAAUAAAAUUCAUUACAAUACGUUGCCAAGAAUUUGCAGCUAGUGGAGAAGAAAAUGUUCACUGGCUGGUCAGUUUCAAACUUUACAAAAUUGUAGUAGUAAAAUCAGGCUGAGUGGAUAUGUCAACGGAGUCUAGUAGGACAAGGACGUAGAGAAAGGUUUGCCGUUUCAGAAUAGCCUCUCUUAUCUCUGUGAAGCUGCUUUUGGGAGGAUGCUGUUUCCUAGUUAUUUCCUUCCAUUCAUCAUCUGAGAGAUCUUCCUUUUCACCCAAAGUCCCAAUGAGAACUUCAUAGAUGAAUGGGAGUUUGACCCCAGUUCUGUGGGGUGUUAGCAUCCAAAAUGCAUAUGUGAAGGGUUAAUUGCAAGAGCUGUGGAACCCCAUGACCUCAUACACUCUGCGGCAGUUAUGGCAGUUGGUACAGUUAUGACAGUUAGUUGAACAGUCUUAACAGUCUAGAGCGGCCGGCAUGUUGUGUUGUGAUGCUGUCUGCCUCAGGGCCAGAGUUAGUCUGCAACAGUUUAAAUCUAUGUAAGAUGUUCUAGCAACUCAAGAAACACCCACCUGCGUUGUAUAUAUUUUAAUCUGCAACUGCAAGAACACUAAGUAAAAGUUAUAUAUUAUUUAAACUUUAAAAGAGGGUGUCUUGCAUAGUUGUUAUAGGAGGGGAAAGAGAACAAAUUAAAGGGUCAAAUGACCCAGAGCUAUUUUUCCACAUACUCUGCAAAUGGGAACUAGAGCAGACCCUCCAAGUAUCCCUAUUUUCCAGGGAUUUCCCUGGUUUAAGAGAAGCCAUCCUGGUUUCUGAUUUGAUCCCAGAAUGUCCCACUUUUCUUUAGGAUGUCCCUAUUUUCAUCAGAAAAAUGUUGGAGGGUAUACUAGAGUUUACUUCCCACAAGGUCUCCCCGGUCCUAAUCCAGGGUGAGUGAGAAUGUGUGGGCAUGUACUGAUACAUACUUAGAUUAGUCAUAACCACAUCCACAUCUAGGCAGUGAUGUGCAUCAGCCUGCAUAUAGACUAUGCUAGUGGAAGCAAGACUCCUUUAGCAAGCGAGAGGAGCUGGCACGCACUUCAGGAAAUACCUUAGUAACUCUCAAGGUGCUUGAGAGUUGACGCUGAGAAGGAGAACCAACUAAAGCUUCGGUAGGAAAUGGAUACAGAUGUACACUGUGGGACAAAUGCUUCAGGGAUUUAAAGAAACACCAUCUCCUGCAAAGCACCCGCCCACGCCAUUGUAUUAUGUUAGCAUACCAGUCACUUCUGCACACCUGGGAGAUGUUGGCAACGCCACAUGCACAUCAAAUCUACUGAACAUAUGACCUGGGCAGUUUAUUGUGUUGUUACUGUGCCAGGUGGAUGGGCUGUACGUAGAUUCUUAGGUCAUUACUUAUUCAUUUACAGUUUUUAAUUGAUACUCUGCCGUAUUCCUCAAGAUCAGGGUAUUCUGGGGUAUUCUCAGGGUAUUCUGCCGUAUUCCUCAAGUUUUUGGGGGCGGGGGGGGCAGAAUAAUCUUGGUGCUUCAAACUCACAUCUCCCGCUCAAGAUAGCAUUUUGAGCAAUGCAACUAAAUACCAGAUCAAAUGCCCAUUCCUUGCUCCCACUUGCACUUCUUCCACUCCAAGGAAGAACAAUUUAAUUAAUAUCUCAUUUGUUCUGUUCAGCUGCAGUACUCAUUUGCCCAGAACACUCAAGCAUGCACACAGCCCAGUGUUUCAACACUUUGAUAGUGUUGCUUCACACCAAACGUACAUAUUUGUCUCAAGGCCUUCCCAUCAAUGACACACACCUGUCUCUAGGCCUUGUGUGCCAAGACAUUUUUCUCUUUUAUUUCGGAGCCACUAGAUUGCUCAUAAACAUUCACAACAUGGAUGCAAUGAUUCACAACUGAUCCAAUGGCUAGUGGGCUGGCCCGUUUCAAUAUACUGGAGCUUCAGUUCUUAUAGCAAACUGUUGGCAUCCAUCUGGCUUGGGAAACAAUGGAAGAGUGCAGCAUCAGGGGUAAAGUCAAACCCUUGGAGAAUUACAGCGCCUGCUGUGGCUGUAGAGACCAAUACAGGAAAUACAUGUUUUACUGCAGCUGGGGCAGAUGAAGGCGUCCAGUUGUGCUGCUACAGAGGCACCACUACGUUUUUUCCCCUCUGAACUUCUCACAGUGGUCAUUUCUCCUCUGGUCAUUGCUGUGAAUACACAAUCUGUCUGUCUCCAGGCACUGCGGUCGUCUGCAAGGGAUUAUCACACGCUGCCACAUUCGGUAAAAUAUACUGUUGACAUGUCAGAUCCUGUCAAAUGUUAACUUUGGUGCCAUCAGAUAUGAUCAGAUGUUAACUGUUCCUGAAAAAUCACUGAAUGUCCAGGGUUGGUGACAAAUUGAACCACUAACAAUCAUCCAUGUUUAGCCAUGCAAUAUUUUGGAAAUAUAAUAUAUUGAGUACUAUACAGUAGGAGGAUAAUUCACAAUGUGGCACAAGGAAAGGAAGGUCAGCAUGUUUGUGUGUGUGGUUUUCCCCCCUGGGCUCUGUUUCUGAAUCUUAUGCUUUCACCACCCUUGUGCAAAUAUGAACCUUCAAAUCUCUCCCAGGGUGCCUUCCCACCAUCUUUACAGCUGCAGCUGGAGCAAAGUCCCUUUUGAUGACUGGCAGUUAAAACAUUUUUGUGGUUUGUUGCCUUAUCUAACCACUUAGACCUAAAGAAAGAUGUUCUGACAAGCAAGAUGGUACAAACUCAAGAGUAAACACAUAUUUGAAUGACUUGGGUAGAGGAGGGAGGGAGGUUUAAGAGGCAGAUAGCAUCGCCUUUGUUAUAGCAAGCAGUUAUUCUUUCCUUCCGUAGCCUCACUUCUAUCAAGAGAACUUGAGGAACACAAUGGAUUAUAUAUAUAAGUAUUUAACACACACACCCAGCCAAUAUAUAGGAAGCAGUGACAAGAUGGUAGUUUAUGUUGUUGUGCCUAUGGCAGCUUCCAGCUCUGGCAUAUCAGAAAUUGGGCCAGCCCUACCAUUAGACAGAGCGAGGUGUCGCUUCAGGCAGCUCUGAUUUAGGGUAUGAUGAAAGGGUUACGGAUGAGCAAAUUUCUUUUUCUCUCGGUUUCUCAUUUCCCCCUCAAUCAUAAAUUCAGUUUUUCACAUUUCCACAUCAGUUUGCAAUUUUUUUUUUUUAAAAAGUGUGAAUUUCUCCUAAUACAUUUUUUCCUUUGCAAUUUUGCCUAAUUGACUCAUUUCUGAAAAGCAAUUUCCCCUAACGAAAUGCAUUUUGUAUGCUAUUUUCCCAACAUGUGACUUUUUAUGCACACUUCAGUAUGCCUUAGUAUAUGUAUACCCCAACCUAACCCUGCUCCCAAAUUACUUGGCUGGAGAACUGCAUUGCAAAAUUCAGAGAAGUGCAGAUUUUGAAAACUGGCUACGCUUAGGUUUGCAUAUUGAUUCAGAAAGUGCAGAUAAGUUAUGCUCAUCUUAAAAUGUAAACCAAAUAGAAUUUAUCGCCCGGCUGAGAGGUAAUCUCCAUUGAGUUUGAUAGGACUGACUUCCAAGUAAGUAUGUACUGGACUGCAGAUUUAACUCCCAGUUGUAUUUUUACUGCUAGAGAGGGGAAGAGGCCCCUGUGGGAUAUUCUGCUUCAGGUGCCAAAUUCAUUUGAUGGGCCUUGGGUACCUUGCAUCCAGAACUGUGGUAGUGCAGGGGAGACACCUCUCCACUGCUGCAAAAUGUCUCAUGACCCCAGUCCUGAGCUUGGGAAUUACAAUUGUAUGAUAAUCUUAAUAUUUAGUUAUCAUCAUAUUUAUCCCGCUCUGGGACCUUAGGGUGAAGGGUAGGGGAUAAACAAACAAACUUCACAGUUUUUUUUCUCAUCUGGAGGUACCAUCCCGUUGCACAACAACCAACAACCUACACUGCAUGGCAUAGGAAAGAAUUUUGCACGAUUGCUAUUGAAUACAGGAUAGUGAUUAUAUAAUGGUUAAUAAUAAUGAUGAUGAUAAAAAACCACCCUAUAGUUGAAAAAGUCAAUGCAGAAGGAAGGUGUGAAACCACAUCGGUGUGUAAUAUGACUCACAGCUAGCACAUGUUUAAGAGCCACAUUCAUUUUCCAUUAGAUUAGCACCCAAAUCAUCAGUGAUGCACUACAAAAACGAGCCUGCUAAGAAAUCAGAGAGCUUUAUGUUUCCUCCACACACUCCAGAGCUUCAUUCAAUUACACUUAUUCUUCUGAAUCCUUGAUGUUGAAUUAAUAGCAUAAUUUCACAGCCUGAUGACUUAUAGAGCAACUCCCCUCUCUUCAUCAUAUGAAAAGAGAAAACCCUCCUAGGAAAUGGAAGGAAGUCAGGUUUUCGAAAUGUGGGGAUUUCCCUCCCCCGGCCCAGUGACUAACACCACAAAGCCCCCACAUUUCAGCCAAAUUCUUGAACUCAUCAAAACUUCCAACGAGCCCCCAGUCAAAUAAACAGGGUGCUUUUAUUGCCACACCCCUGCUAUUUUGUGGUACACAUUUAUCAAAUUUCUGAAAGUAGAAGAUUCCUGAAUUAAAAUGGGAAUGUCUCACUUAUGCCUCGACAACAUCUGCUUUCAGAUAUGCAAGGGUGUAAGAAUUACCUUCCCCUUUGGAGGCCCCCAAUCCACAUUUUUGUGUGAAUGAGUCACAGUUAUUGGUGUUCCCCCUAAUGUGAAGGAGGCAUGUGUGGAAUAGUAAGUCAUUAUGAGAUGCAACAGCACAGCCUCCUCCUAUGAGGGUCUGUAAUUCAGAAGUGACUGAAUGAUCCAUGCAGAGGCAUGGCAAAAUUAUUAUUAUUAUUAGAGCAGUGCACUUGAUCUAACUGAAUCACAGAUCCCAAGCAGAAUUGGACCAAUUUGGGUCAACCAAGGUUUUUACCACAGUGGGUUAAGGGACCCCAGGUUCAAAUGGGUCCACCAAGACCACCAUGGGGCUGUAAAAAUUGGGGAAUAGUCUGGUGGCAAGGAGACAGAGGAGGAGAUGCACACAGGCAACUCUCCCCUUCUCCCCCUGACAAGUUUAAUUAGGGUUUAAGUAGGGUAUAAUAACUUGCCUCGCCUGGGUUUCCUAACGUUCCCUUCUUUUCUCCCUCUUAAAAACCUUUUCUCCCCCUUAAAAUAAAUAUCACACAAACUGCCAUAAAAGGUGAAAAUAGCAUUUACUCAGUCUACGUCUUGAAUAAUAACAUACAGCAGCUUGAUGUAGGCAGGCUUAGUGAGUUACUAACACUGAAGUCUAGCUCAGGGGUUGGCAAAGUUUUGGGGGCUGGGGCCGGUUCACAGUCCCGCAGACACCGCGGUGGGCCGGAGUGUGUGCUCGUGUGCGCACACACGCGCAGACACUAUUUCUGGCGCUCCUUCUGGCACGGAGGAGGCGUGUGCAGCUUCCCAUUGGCUGCAGGAGCUUCCUGCAGCCAAUGGAAAGCUGGCCAGCAUUGUGGAAGGCGGUCCCCGCUCUGAUCUGCGCUGGUUUAGCCGACUGAGCGGGCAGUGGGGGCCCACGGGCCGGUUAAAUAUCCCCCAUGGGCCUUAGGUUGCUGACCGCUGGUGUAGCUUAAAAAUGGAGUCUGAGCUGGAGUCUGAGCUGGAGUUCAGACAGACAGAUGUUUUCACGUUACAGACAUGGCAGAGGAGCAAAUAUAGCCACACCCUCUUCCUGUCAGGACACAAGAGGGAAGUGAUCUCACAGAGUUCUCUUUAGCACGUUUACAGGAAAGUUCUGUGAGCCUCAGCCCCUUCAUCUGCCUAUCUGGCAAAAUGUGAAUUGUUGGCUUGGCUGCAAUAAAUGCCCCACAUUUAAUACUGCUUGCGCUGGAAGCCUGCCCCAUGUGGUGAGCCAGUGCACUGCAUGCUGCAGCCUCUGCUUGUUAUUAUUUAUUACAUAUAUAUAAAUUCAAUAAAUAAUAAUAAUGGCAGCUCACAGUGGCGAACAGACAAGUGAUGAAACAUGUAAAAACAAUUCUGAUAGAGAUGCAGACUGGGAACCAUCUCUUCUUAAAAGGCUCGUUAGAAGAGGGAGAUGCAUCGUGCUAUUCUGGACAGACUCUGUCCACCCUGGUUUGCUAUUGGUUCUUCCCAGGAAGGUGUGUAAGAGGGCUUCCUCUCCCAGUUAAGCCUUGGUCUUCCUUGCCUCCAGUGCAUUCCUAUAUCCUUUGGCUGUCUUUCAGUCCUGCCAUCUGGUCUGAUCCUCAAUCAAAUCCAGUUACCUAAUUGAUACUGCUAGUGAAUCCUAGGGGUCUUCACUGGAUUGCCUUCUUAGCAUUUUCCAAUGCUGCGCAAAUGUCUGUAUAAUUGCAUUGCUACAUAGACCUUCCUAUAUUGGCACCUGUGCAGCUAAAUGCACACCAAGAGAGUUUAAUCAGAAUGGUCUCCAUUAACUUAUCUCAUCUAGAGCCCUCAACGUAUUAAUACAAGUUUCUGUGAUGUAUUAAAACAUGGUCGAACUCACCGGGGAGAUAGACAGAGUGUAAAAUAAAACAAUUUUGCUUUCGUAGCACAGGUAUAAUUGGUACGUUAAUUGCAGUCAACUUUACCUCUCUCAAUAUUAUUAACCUCCUGAUUUUCUCCAGCACGGCAAGUGGAGGAAUAUCAUUCUAUAGUAUAUUCUCAAGAAGGGGAUUAAAUAAUAGGCACAAAUGAAGUCCAAAUCUAGUACAAAAACACACACACGGAAAAGAUACAUCUCCCAGCUGUCUCACUAAUAUAUCCCAAGUCUGAGAUAGCUAUCAGAGCAGCCCAGACUUCAAAUUAUAGCAAUUAUGACGGUUUGUGCUGGUAGCCAGGAGGUGGGAAUUUUUUGAUGUGGUUAAAAAUAACAUCUUUUUUUAAAAAAAAAAUCCCAUAAAAAUUACAUUUUGCUAAUUUUCUGAUAAGAUAAUGUUGGAGCUAGGUAGCGUGUCUUCCAGAGCCUGUUUUCAAUUACAGCUCUUCUUCCCCUUCUGGGCUUUUACCACCUUGUCUAUGGGAUCCAAUUCCAUUCUGAGGAGUUCAUUUGUUUUAACUUUCUUAAUUAAUUGUAUUGUAUAGGUUUUGCCUUUCAAGCCGAUAUCAAUCUUCCAGAGUUAUUAACGAGCCUUGAUUGCCAUGGCGUGAUACAAAGCUCAGCACGGUUAAGUUGUUCUCUCUGUCACACGCAGAACAGAGUUCCCACAUUAGCCCGCUAAACAAAAAUAAUUGCACGUAAUUUAGAGGGGAACAAAGGACAAGAGCCUUGUGGUUGGGGAGGCUGAGGAAUAAUAACAUACAGAAAUCAAGUUGUGUGUCUGACUUCUCUUUCCGAAUUAGAUACCCAGGCUAGAUACCCAAUUGGGCCCAACAGCCAUCAGGUUUGUUAAACAAAACCUCCCACUGACUGUCCUCUAAGCCAGUGUUUUUCAACCACUGUU